GGGGAUAUAGCUCAGUUGGUAGAGUACUUGCCUCACAUGCACAAGGCCCUGGGUUCAAUCCCCAGCACCA
rnacentral:tRNA from 1 species